CCAAUAUUGCAAAUUUCUCUCUCGGGUCUGGUUUGGCCCUUGGUAGCUGGCAGUCUGAGCCCCAAUCUGUACUUCUGAAGAAUUACUCUGCCUUUGUUAUAGUUUCUCCAUCCUUAAUUCUUUUCAGCACAUCUAAUUUCACCUACUUGGGAUAUGGUUGUGGAAAACAAUCUCACUGAAUUUCUCAUGCUGUAAGUGGGCUGGUGUGAUUACUGUCAAAGAACAUCUAAUGCUGUAAAUGGUUGGUCAACCUAUGGUGAGUAAUCGCUUAUUGUUGCCUCGCUUGGCAAUCCUUGCUAAAGCAUGAGACUGGUUUGAUGUACUUGCUUCCUCCUUAAUAUAAGCCUGUUUAGCCGGAUCUUUCAAAAAAAAAAAGGAACUAGAAUGAGAUCUUCAGUUAGAAUGAACCUUUAUUCUCAAGAAGUUCAAUUGCUGAAACUUUAUUCCGUAGCCCACACGGCUUUGAUCUGGUAGAAAAGCCAAAAGCUAUAUGGUUCGAUCAACAUCAACUUUCUACCAUCUUAACUGUACAGCUUGACUUUUCAGGGGUUUACCUCAAUACCCAUUUGGAAUGGUAGAUCAAAAAAAUGGAGAAGCAGGAAGAAUGGAACACCAAAUUUGAAAUGGUCAAUACAUGUGCAUGGACUAUUGGACUCGACGUCAUGACUGGCCUUCUUCAUCAUUUGAACCACCAAUCUCUGUCUCUUGAGUUAAUUUUGAUACAUAUCAUUCCAUGACACUCCAGCUUCUGCGCGUUCUUCCCACCUGCUGUGUUAUCUUCCUGAGGAGAGCUUGUAGAAAUGGACGUUCUCCUCUCUGCAGUCCUUGGUGAGUUGACCACUAGAUCCAUAAAUUUUCUCAUCAGCAAAUAUUCCAAGCCCAUGCCACUGGAUGUGGAGGAUUGCCUGCGCAGGGUCCUGCUCCGGGCACAAGUGAUCAUUGACGAGGCCAUGGGACGGCACAUCACAAACCAAGCCAUGCUCCUCCAGCUGGUUAUGCUAAGAGACGCCAUGCACCGAGGCUACUACAUGCUCGAUGCUAUCAGAUACCAACAUCAUGAUGAGGAGGAUGCCAAAGAUCAGGUUGUGAGUCGCUCUUCGUCUCUGUCUGUAGUAAAUUUUGUAAAGCACCUAUGUUUCUCCAGUAGAUCUGCUCUGCCUUAGAAAGAACUGCAAGAGACGCUUGACAAUUUGAGCUGCAUGAUCCGUGAUGUAAAUGAGCUCGUCCUGUUCUUGGCGAGCUAUCCUCGCCUGUACAGCCAACCUUACAGCAUGCAUCUGCAGCUGGCCAACUGCAUGUUUGGGCGCCAGAUAGAAGCACAACUAGUCAUCAACUUCCUGUUGCACACACAACCUCAUGGUACUGAAGAAUUAGAGGUCCUGCCAAUUGUUGGACCAAGAUAUGUUGGAAAGAGCACCCUUGUCGCUCAUGUGUGCAAGGAUGAAAGAGUAUUUGACCAUUUCUCAAAUAUCUCGUUUUUCCGCAUCCAUGGUUUCACAGAUGAUGAGCUAGCUACUUUCAGAGAAGGAUGCGCAACAAAAGUUCAAAAUCACAUAUCAGAUUCGAACAAAGAUGGAAGAUUGCUAGUUGUUGUUGAGUUAGAUGGGGAUCUCAGUGAAGAAGCACUGAAUAGGUUGUUUUCUGCUUCUAGACAGUAUGUGCCAAGGGGUAGUAAAAUCAUACUUACAAGCCGGUUUGACAACAUUGCAAAGUUUGGAACAACAAAGCCUUUGAAUCUGAAGCACCUGUCCCGUGAGGCGUACUGGUAUUUCUUCAAGACGCUGACAUUCGGAAGCACAGAUCCUGAGAUGCAUCCGAGGCUCACGCACCUGGCCAUGGAGAUAGCCAAGAUGCAGAUAAGUUGCUUCUUUAAUGCGAACACGGUUGCUCGUUUGCUAAGGGAUAACUUUAAUGGCCUAUUGUGGUCCAAGGUUUUGGCCUUCUUUAGAUGCUUCAUCCAGCAGCACAUCUCAAGAUUUGGGCAGCCUUCAUUUUGUCCUUUGGUUGAAGACAGACUUGCAUAUAUUGGUAGAAUGGCUGCCCCUUCUGAAGCCGUGGUGGUUUAUCACCAUCAUCAUCGCUCUUCAGAAGAGGAAGUUCCAAAGAUAAGAAUGGAUGAUGUGAUAUUCGGAAGCGUCAAGCCUCACGGGAAAGUUGAGGUCCUAAUAUGGCAGUCUCAUAUACCACCUUACUAUAGCUACGUCUGUACUUGUGAGAUCCAGGAGAUAAAAAACACAGGUGCCAAGCGGAAGCGUUCUGUGGGAAGCGGAAUAUAGCUCUUUUUUUUUAACUUUUGUGAUGUGAUUAUCAGGCUUAGGUAGGAGGACAUUAGUCACAUCCCGCAAAUAUAGCAUAGUAGUCACUGCAGGGUGUGUUAAGUUUAAUUGUAAACAGAACAAUGUAUGAUGCUUAUGCCACAUAUUUUCAUGAGAUGUAAUGUAAUGAUGAAUUGCUUCUUGUUGGUUUC